UACGUAGGUGGCAAGCGUUGUCCGGAUUUAUUGGGUUUAAAGGGUGCGUAGGCGGCCUAUUAAGUCAGUGCUGAAAUCCUCCGGCUUAACCGGAGAUGUGGCAUUGAUACUGAUGGGCUAGAGUACAGAUGAGGUAGGCGGAAUUGACGGUGUAGCGGUGAAAUGCUUAGAUAUCGUCAAGAACACCUAUAGCGAAGGCAGCUUACUAGGCUGUAACUGACGCUGAGGCACGAAAGUGUGGGGAUCAAACAGG
rnacentral:rRNA from 1 species